CUCAUCGCCACCCGUCCUCCUGGAUCGUCGCCGGAUUGAAGGGAGACGUGCGCAUGCGCGCGCCGGCGGCAGCGGGGCCGCGCCCGCCCGGAGCUCGUGCCCGUGACUGCCGAGGCCGGGGAGACCAGAACGCGCGCUCUUCCUCAUCAGGCUGCGACCGUUACUCGUCUCCAAAGUAACCAUGGAAGGUGCAGAGUUCAAAUCCCCACUCACGGAGAAGAGAGCCAGCUCUGAACAACAGGAACACCACCAAUUUGAGGUCUAGGAGCUGCGGUUGUAAUUAUAGGUUCACCCAUUUUUUUUUCCUAAUAUUUUGGAGUUUUAUAUAGUUAUUCCAAAAGUUGUUUCCUGCAAGAAUUGGAUGCUUUAAAGAUGAAAAAUAUCGUGUUUAUAAAGACUUCAAGACACCCUUAAAGAUUCAGCAUGCACUGAAUAAUCCUGAGUGACAGUGUACACUAUAUUCAUGUAACAAAACUGGCUCACUAUCAUUGUGCUAGCUAGAAAUGACCUAGUCGGAGUCACUUCUAAUCUAACUAGAUUUUUUUUGUCAUUAGGCUUUGAAACAAUUAAAGGCAUGUAUCAAUAUUUCUAAAA